CCCCGCCCGCCCGCCCGCCCAGCCGAGCACCGGGGAGGCCGCUCCCCGCGCCCUGGGCCUCUCGGCCUCCGCCGCGCCUCCCGGGCGGGGGCCUUGGGCAGGCGCCGCCGUCUCCCGCUAGAGGGACCCGGGCUGCCUCCGCGGCCGUGUCGCCCCAGCGGACGGCGAGCGCCUCCGGAGCCGGGACGGCGUCCUCGUCACUUGGGUCUGGCACGGAGUGGGGCCUAGCGAGGGGCUGCACACGGAGGGACGCCGCGGUGGCGCGGGCCAGGCGCUCAGCGGGUGCGCCCCAAGGGUCUGCGGGCCGCGGGGACUUGCUGGCGGGCCUGGAGGCGGGGGGCAGGCUGACGCGUCGCCUCUGGGAGAACCGGGAGACCCGCGGCGAGCAGAGUUGAGGACCGGCCAGCGGGGCGUCCCGGGGCUAGACCUGGGACAUGUCCGAGUGACUGGGGGAGCCCCGGCCGUGCAAGGUGAGAACUCAGAGAAGCGGGCGGAAGGCCAGGCGGGUGACCGGCGGGACCUUCCCAGAGCCCAGCGCACCUGGGAACAGGCGGCGUUGAGGUGGCAGCUGGGUCAGGGUGCCUCCGACCGCGGACACCCACUGCUGAGCACGGAGACAUUCCUUCUGAAGAACCAGGAAAGAGCUUGAGAUACAGUUUAAACUUCAGACAAGGCCGGACUACCCUGUAAACCAGAGACAACUUUUCAUUUGAAUGAACAGAAUCACAGACUACAAUGAAAGGGGGAAAAAUGUAUCUUGACUGUGACAGUACAUAGAAGCUGUCUUACCACUGUUGGAAUAUCAUAGAGACAAUCUCCUGUGCUGCCUCCCACUGGCUGAACCCAAGAGGAAGCCUAAGGGCAAGUGAGCCCUGAUGACGUUGUCCUUCAAGGCCAGCCUCCGGAAAAUGAUGGAAGGUAGAUCUGGAAGGACAAAGGCACAAUAUCUAGCAGUGAGCAUUGUGAUAGGGGAAGUAUGAGGAGCUGAGUGGCCGCCUGGGAGAAUAAUGGACUCCAUCUCCGGAGAUAAGGGAAGGCUUCAGGGGUGGAGGAAGGAAGGAAGAUUGAAGGAACAACAGGUAAGCAACAGGGAGAAGGGAGAGCUGAAAAAUGCUUGGGACUGAAAGAGCAGCUGUAGGGAAGGCCCAGAGGCCUUUUGUGGAACCCAAAGCGGUUCCCUGUGGCUGGGGCCUCUGGGGUGAGAGGGGACACUGGCAUCAGGCAUUACUCCUCAGGGCUGUGCGGUUAAUGGUGGGAGCUACGAGGCAGGAUGUUGACAAAUUGGGAAUAGGCCGGCCCAAGACAGGAAGUACUCCUCCCUGAAAAUAUUCCUUCACCAGUUCAGUUCAAGUUCACUGGUUACACACUCAAAUGGGUUAAUGAGCUGUUCUUUCUUUCUUCUUUUUUUUUACUCUUUGUUUUUUCAAUUCCAGUAUAGUUAACAUACAGUGUGAUAUUAAUUUCAGGUGUGCAAUAGAGUGAUUCAAUACUUUCAUCCAUCACUCAGUGCUCAUCAUGAUACAUGUACUCUUUUUUUUCUUUUAAGUUUAUUUAUUUACUUAGAGAGAGAGCGAACAGGGUAAGGGCAGAGAGAGGGAGAGAGAGAAUCACAAGCAGACUCCACAUGGACAGUGUGGAGCCCAAUGCGAGGCUUGAACUCAUGAACUGUGAGAUUACAAUCUGAGCCAAAACCCAGAGUUGAACGCUUAACCAACUGAGCCAUCUAAGCACCCCUCUUUUUUUUUUAAUGUUUAUUUAUUUAUUUUGAGAGAGAGAGAAGGAGGGGGGAGGAGCAGAGAGAGAGAGAGAAAGAGAAUCUUAAGCAGGCUCUGUGCUGACAGUGCAGAGCCCGACACAGGACUCGAUCUCACAAACCAUGAGAUCAUGACCUGAACAGAAAUCAAGAGUUGGAUACCUGACUGAGCCACACGAUACACGUACUCUUAAUCUCCUUAACUAUUUCCCCCACCCCUGCCACCCCCCUCCCCUCUGGUGACCACCUGUUUAUUCUCUACAGUGAAGAGUCUGUUUUCUGGUGAGCUGUUCUUUAUAAAAGCAAGAGUCUCUCGUACAGUGAUUACUCUCUUUUCAGAUUAUGUCAGGCUAUGAAGACUUCUUCUUGAUUCAGAAAACUGAACACGGUUGAAGUUCCGUGUAAUAGAAGUCAUAUAAAAGUGCAUAUAAAAUACAGGCGUGGAACAAUGAACGGGUGUUAGCUCUGCCCCGGGGAGGUCUGGCUAAGCUUCCCACAACAGAUGACACUUAAACAGGGUCUGGAAGAAGAAGCAUAGUCAGGCCUCCAAAUGGACGGACAUUCUGAUAAUGACAAUAGUAUUUACUAAGUGUCAGGAACUAUUUUUGUGGUUUACAUUCUAAGCUUACUCUAUCUCCAUAAUAAUAAUAAUAAUAAUAAUAAUAAUAAUAAUAAUAAUAAAACACUAGAUACCACCAUCCCUGUUUACAGGUGAAGAAACUGAGGCACAGAGACGUAAAGUGACUCUAACGUGACUUGUCUAGAGUCACACAGUUUGGAAGGGGUAUAGUGUGGCUCCAGAGUUUACCUCAUUAACCAACCCCCCCUCCCAUUGUAUUUGAACAUGCCUGGAUUAUAGGGUGAGGGAUUAGCAAGGAACGUCAGAUCAAACCGUUGAGGGAAGCAGUGGCCGCAUCAGGCAGAGUUUCAGCAGCAGCCCCUUGAAGACAGGUUACAUAGCAGCCUUUAGGUAAAUGGUUUUUUUUUUUAUGACUUGAGUGCAUAUAUAAAUGAUUGCUAAUGAUCAUAUUUUUGAAUGUGGUUGCAUUAAGAAAACAUUAUAUCCAAAUCCAGAUUUACACAAACCACAUUUCCAGUGGCGAUUCACUGCCUCAACAGAUUCCCAUCGGAUCCUUUAAAACAUCAAGAGGAUGUAGGCAGGCCGGACCGAAGGACGCAGAGUGGGUCCCGCAGGACCAGCCAAGAGGGUCUCUGGCUUCGUGCAGGAUAGAAAACAAACACGGGCCGGGAGGAAGUAAAAGCAGAGUUUACUGAAUAGUGUAAAUGACAGACUAUAGCAGACGAAGGUCUGGGAGAGUCAGGAAGGAAAGGAGAGGGAGUCUCUUCCUCGCUGGGGUUUACGGGUUUAGAUUGGAAAGGGGUCCGGGGCACAUGUUCCUUCAGGAAUCCAGGGAAGGGACCGCUCGAAGCCAAGUGCAGGUGGACAAUAGGUGUUAUUUCAUAAAUAACUGGAGGUAGGAGGUGUGGAUGCCACCAUGGGCUGAGGUUUGUUCGAAGCUAAUGUCCUGGAACGUGUUUGGGAUCCAGGCUUUUAGAUGUUAUCAGGCGUUUGGGGGCCUAGGACAAAACUCAGAAAAUGAUUAACUUUCUUGCUUCCCUCUCCGAGUGGGAACACAGCUUCUUUGGUUGAUUCGGACGCAAGGUGAGAUACAGAACAUGAAUAAAUAGGGGCUAGCAGAAAAACAGCAGAGGGAGAGCCUUUCUAAACAUGGAGUCCCUCUGGUUUCCCCAUGAUUAACUGUAAAACUGCAGAAGCUCAAAAGGCAGCUCAUCAGCGAUGGAGGAGGUGUGAGCCCUCCUUAGACGAGAGGGGCUCAGGUCGUCCCCACACUCUCAAAUCUUCACCCGCAGGACCUCCACAGUCACAACACACGCUCUCCUAUCUGAGAACCAGUAGAACAAACAGCAAGCUCCCUUUCCUCGUUUAGCCAGGGCACAAUGGCCAAACAGGAAACUGGUGUCCCCUCACCCCCGCCCCCACAGCAUAUACACGCCUACCAACUCACAAGGCUGGCAUUUCCUUCUCCCAGCUGCCCCAGCAGCUGUCCAGGACUUUUUAAAGAGAGCUCUCCAAAAGCCUCCCAGGGAGAUGUGACUGACUCUAGUAAUCUCUCUGCAUAGAAGGCACCUUUAAUUGGGGGAAUGAGAUUUCUUCCCAACAGCCCAUGUUGCACAGAACCGCUGCAUCUUUUAAAACCAGGCUUUCUGAUGUCCAGAGCCACCAAGCAGAAAGUCUCCUCUCUUUAGCCCCUGACUUGACCUAGAAGAGGCUGGCUGGGUGUGUCCUUCCAGCAAACCCAGAGAGAUCCUUUCAGGAGGUGGCACCAGGGAAGAGCCAGGCCACACCGAAAAGUGUGGCCUGUGCACUGGUUUGUCUAGAUACUCCCGGACCACUUCCUUUCCUGACAGGGCUAUACAGGAACCUUCUCCUUCCACCCACCAUUUCCUUCAUUGGGAAGGUCGAGGAGAAACUGGUAAGAUCAUGGUUAUUUUGGGUGGUGGCCUCGGGGCGGGGGGGGGGGGCUCAAUCAGUUGAGCGUCCGACCUUGGCUCAGGUCACGAUCUCACGGUUUGUGGGUCGGAGCCCCACGUCGGGCUCUGUGCUGACAGCUCGGAGCCUGGAGCCUGCUUCGAAUUCUGUGUCUCCUGCUUUCUCUGCCCCUCCCCCGUUCAUGCUCGCUCUCUCUCUCUCUCUCUCUCUCUCUCUCUCAAAAAUAAAUACACAUUAAAAAAAGAGAGAGAGUUAACUUGGGGCACAUAGCUGGCUCAGAUGGAAGACCAUGAGACUCUUGAUCUCAGGGUUGUGAGUUCGAGCCCCACUUUUGGUACAGAGAUUACUUAAAUAAAUAAAUACAAAUAAACUUAAAAAAAAAAAAAAAAA